rnacentral:rRNA from 1 species
GUCUGAUCUGCUCANGAUUAUUUAAAUAGCUGCAGUAUUUUGACUGUACAAAGGUAGCAUAAUCAUUUGGUCUUUAAUUGAGAUCUGGCAUGAAAGAUUGGACGAGAAAUAUACUUUCUUUAUAUUAUUUAUUUAACUUAAUUAAUGAGUGAAAAAUCUCAUAUAAUCCUAUAGGACGAGAAGACCCUGUAGAACUUUAUGUUUAUAUAUUUUAUAUAUCUCUGGUUCAUAAUAGUAUAUAUUUUAUAUAAAUAUUUUGUUGGGGUGACAUAAAAAAUCUAAUAACUUUUUUUUUAUUUUUCAUUAUAUGUGAAAUUAUUGAUCCUUUAUUAUGGAUUAUAAGAAUUAGUUACCUAAGGGAUAACAGCGUUAUUGUCUUGGAGAGUUCAUAUUGAUAAGAUAGUUUGCGACCUCGAUGUUGGAUUAAAAUAAGUUUUAGGUGUAGAAUUUUAAUAACUAGGUCUGUUCGACCUUUAAAUUUUUACAUGAUCUGAGUUCAAAACCGGAGA